UACGGAGGGUGCAAGCGUUAAUCGGAAUCACUGGGCGUAAAGGGCACGUAGGCGGCUUGAUAAGUCAGGUGUGAAAUCCCUGGGCUCAACCUGGGAAUGGCAUUUGAUACUGUUGAGCUAGAGUCUGGUAGAGGGAGGUGGAAUUCCAGGUGUAGCGGUGAAAUGCGUAGAGAUCUGGAGGAACACCGGUGGCGAAGGCGGCCUCCUGGGCCAAGACUGACGCUGAGGUGCGAAAGCGUGGGGAGCAAACAGG
rnacentral:rRNA from 1 species